rnacentral:lncRNA from 1 species
AAACACAUCUUCUGGACUCUCUUCUGGUAAUAUGAGCUCCUAAAUACCUUUCCUGAUGCUUUGAAUCCGCCUGGAUGUGGACAAAGGUGUCAGGUGAAAGCUGUGCAGCUGAAACACAACAGACACACGAGUGUCUUCGCUGCUGCAGAUCCGCCCUCACUGUCAUUCAGCUGCAGAGGAGAGCGAGAGAGCAAUGAAUGAACACAAACACUGCAACAACAUCACUACAAACUUACUACAUUACUCUCAGGACUUCACACACCAGCGCUUCUUCACGCCGAAAGAAAGUCACAGGAUCAGUGAAGUGUUGUGGACUGUAAGCCUGUUGAGCAGAAGCAGAGACGAGUGGACAAACACUGACUGUACUGAUGAUGAUCAUCUGCUGCUGCACAGCAGUAAUGAAGUAUAACCCCUGCUGGACAUGGCUCCGGAAGCUCCAGGGGGAGACCGAACUGGUAUCCCCACCUCUCCAGGCACAACUCACUCACUGUGCACUCAUAUUGCAAAGAUCCGGCUGGGAUCGAUCCAGCAACCAUUAAAGUCAUGGGGCAGCGAUCUUACCACAGAGCCACUGAUCUCCUGUCUGGAUGCCUGCUGGAAUUGAUGUCACUGCUGACCUGUUUCAAUAAAACAAUAUAU